AUUAACGCUGGCGGCGUGCUUAACACAUGCAAGUCGAACGGAGAUAGUUUGAAAGCUUGCUGAUAACUAUCUUAGUGGCGCACGGGUGAGUAACACGUGGGCAACCUGCCCGGAAGACUGGGAUAACACCUCGAAAGGGGUGCUAAUACCGGAUACCUUCACGAAGUCGCAUGACUUUGUGCAGAAAGAAAUUCGCUUCCGGAUGGGCCCGCGUCCCAUUAGCUAGUUGGCGAGGUAACGGCUCACCAAGGCGACGAUGGGUAGCUG
rnacentral:rRNA from 1 species